rnacentral:rRNA from 1 species
GUCUGUAUGAAGUUAUAUAGAGUCUGACCUGCCCGUUGAAGAAAUUUGAAAGGCCGCGGUAUAUUAACUGUGCAAAGGUAGCAUAAUCAUUAGUUUUUUAAUUGAAAGCUUGUAUGAAGGGUUGGACAAAGAAAAAACUGUCUUUAAUUUUGGUUUUGAAAUUAACUUUUAAGUGAAAAGGCUUAAAUAAAUUUAAGGGACGAUAAGACCCUAUAAAUCUUAAUAUUAGGUUGUUUUUCUUGGAAAUUAAUAUUUGUCUAGAAAAAAGAAAAAUAGAAGAUAUUUUGUUGGGGUGACGAGAAUAUAAUUUUAACUGUUCUUAGAUAAAACAAAGUUAUUUGUUUAAGGUUAAUGGAUCCUUUUUAGAGAUUAAUAGUUUAAGUUACUUUAGGGAUAACAGCGUUAUUUUUUUUGAGAGUUCUUAUCGAAAAAAAAGUUUGCGACCUCGAUGUUGAAUUAAAAUUUCUCUACGGUGUAGGAGUUGUGGUGAGAAAGUCUGUUCGACUUUUAAAAUUUU